rnacentral:rRNA from 1 species
UCGGGAAUUUUGGGCAAUGGGCGAAAGCCUGACCCAGCAACGCCGCGUGAAGGAUGAAGUAUUUCGGUAUGUAAACUUCGAAAGAAUAGGAAGAAUAAAUGACGGUACUAUUUAUAAGGUCCGGCUAACUACGUGCCAGCAGCCGCGGUAAUACGUAGGGACCAAGCGUUGUUCGGAUUUACUGGGCGUAAAGGGCGCGUAGGCGGCUUGACAAGUCACUUGUGAAAUCUCUGGGCUUAACCCAGAACGGCCAAGUGAAACUGUCAUGCUAGAGUGCAGAAGGGGCAAUCGGAAUUCUUGGUGUAGCGGUGAAAUGCGUAGAUAUCAAGAGGAACACCUGAGGUGAAGACGGGUUGCUGGGCUGACACUGACGCUGAGUGAGCGAAAGCCAGGGGAGCAAACGGGAUUAGAUACCCCCGUAGUCCCUGAGCGGGCUGGCAAGGCGCAU